rnacentral:misc_RNA from 1 species
GUGAGUCAUCGAAUCUUUGAACGCAUCUUGCACUAUUCGGCUUCCCCGGAUAGUAUGCCUGGUUGAGUGUCUGUGUAUCUCUCCUAAUUCAACAUUUGUUGGAAUAGGGACUUGGGGUCUUUCUCGUCGGAAGUUAAACUCGUUUAAUACCCGGUGAACCCUUUAAAUAUAGUAAGCUCCCAUCUAUUUCAUUAUCGGAAAUACGUAAACUUGGGGAUGGCGUCGUAGCAAUCACUAUUUCAGUAUUGUCGAAGCGCCUAUACAUACCUCUAAACUACGGUGCUAAUCCUUUAUUAGACU